UGUAUCUGAAGCCUGACGAGGAUGAGAACCUCCGGGGGCAAGAGGUUCGACUCGAGCGAAGCGAGAGAACGUUGCUUCAGCAACGGCCCGCAGGGCGAGCCACGCAGUGGCGAGUCAUCCUCUAUCACCGACCA
rnacentral:sRNA from 1 species